CUAUGGGGCCAACCACCUGCUCUCUCUGGGUCCCAUUUUCCUUACUGAAGCAGAAGCUCUGACAUGUCAUGAGAACUCUGUGAGAAGAAGCCAGCCCAACAGACAGGUACUGAGUACCUUGCGUUUCUGUGCUUACUUCUCUAACCUUGCCCUCCCCUCACCAAGAAGGGCAUGAAGAAUGUGUGGCUCCAUGGCCUCCUCAGCUCACCAGUACGGUUUGUGAAGAAUUGUUCACUAUUUGAUGCCAAAAGCUGCUUAAUAAAUACAUAAAAUAAACUGAAA